CACGGGGGGAGCAAGCGUUGUUCGGAAUCACUGGGCGUAAAGGGCGUGUAGGCGGUCAGGUAAGUGGGAUGUGAAAUGCCCCGGCUCACCCGGGGACCGGCAUCCCAUACUGCUUGGCUUGAGUACGGGAGAGGAUGUGGGAAUUGCUGGUGUAGCGGUGAAAUGCGUAGAUAUCAGGAGGAACACCGGUGGCGAAGGCGCACAUCUGGCCCGAUACUGACGCUGAGGCGCGAAAGCUAGGGGAGCAAAUGGG
rnacentral:rRNA from 1 species